rnacentral:RNase_P_RNA from 1 species
GGUAGUGGUGACAGGAAGCGGCGGGUUCUUUGGAGCCCAGGAAGGUCCGCCCACCAGCACCCCGAAAGCGCCUGCUUUCCACGGUGCAGCAUGGCUACUCCCAGAGGGAGACGGAGAAAUCCGGUGGCUCUGGCGCAGAAACGGCACGUCCCUAUUUAAGGAUGAUCAUGGCGAAGCUUCCAGCGAUGGGAGCGAGUUAACCCACGGACGUUGAAUAGGGGAACGAUGAAACGGCGAACCCUUACCGAAAGCUGGACUUUCGGACGGUCUAAAAAGAGAAAUCUUUAAAGAUCGGGCCGGUGCAAGUCGUUACGACGCUCAGUAGAAUGCUUCCCCAAACCAUCGGGUUGUAUACCUAUACAGCCUUUGGGUUUGACAAAAGGCGGCCUAUGUCACCCUACC